rnacentral:rRNA from 1 species
CCUACGGGUGGCUGCAGUGAGGAAUAUUGGUCAAUGGACGCAAGUCUGAACCAGCCAUGCCGCGUGCAGGAAGACGGCUCUAUGAGUUGUAAACUGCUUUUGUACGAGGGUAAACGCAGAUACGCGUAUCUGUCUGAAAGUAUCGUACGAAUAAGGAUCGGCUAACUCCGUGCCAGCAGCCGCGGUAAUACGGAGGAUUCAAGCGUUAUCCGGAUUUAUUGGGUUUAAAGGGUGCGUAGGCGGUCGGAUAAGUUAGAGGUGAAAUCCCGGGGCUCAACUUCGGAAUUGCCUCUGAUACUGUUCGGCUAGAGAGUAGUUGCGGUAGGCGGAAUGUAUGGCGUAGCGGUGAAAUGCUUAGAGAUCAUACAGAACACCGAUUGCGAAGGCAGCUUACCAAGCUACUGCUGACGUUGAGGCACGAAAGCGUGGGGAGCAAACAGAAUUAGAUACCCCGGUAGUC